rnacentral:misc_RNA from 1 species
UCUUCUAGCCCAAAGGUC